rnacentral:lncRNA from 1 species
UCAACUGGGAGAAUCUGUAUCCUUAAAAUUAAAACAUUUAAAUCAUGAGUAUAAGAGUCCAAGCUUUGGAUCAAGAAAUCACCUCCACCUUGGUUGGAGUUUGGGGUAUGGUGUGUAUUUGAAGAUUCAAAGUCAACUUUUAAUAACAGUGCCUGCACGUGGUCUUCAGGAGCUCAAACACUCUCACACAGAACAGAAAGGAAGUCUCCAAAACGAUUGUGAAAUUGACAAAUCACCGCACUGAUUUUGGCUUUGGGGGAGAAGCAUGGAGUUAGACAUGCAGAAG